UACAGAGACUGCAAGCGUUAUUCGGAAUUACUGGGCGUAAAGCGUGCGUAGACGGUAGCGUAAGUCAGAUGUGAAAGCCCCGGGCUCAACCUGGGAAUUGCAUUUGAGACUGCUCUGCUCGGGUGCGGAAGAGGGAAGCGGAAUUUCCGGUGUAGCGGUGAAAUGCGUAGAUAUCGGAAGGAACACCAGUGGCGAAAGCGGCUUCCUGGUCCGACACCGACGUUCAGGCACGAAAGCGUGGGGAGCAAACAGG
rnacentral:rRNA from 1 species